ACCUGGGGAAACCCAGGCUAAUACCGCAUACGUCCUACGGGAGAAAGGGGGCUCCGGCUCCCGCUAUGGGAUGAGCCUACGUCGGAUUAGCUAGUUGGUGAGGUAACGGCUCACCAAGGCGACGAUCCGUAGCUGGUCUGAGAGGAUGAUCAGCCACAUCGGGACUGAGACACGGCCCGAACUCCUACGGGAGGCAGCAGUGGGGAAUAUUGGACAAUGGGGGAAACCCUGAUCCAGCCAUGCCGCGUGUGUGAAGAAGGCCCUCGGGUUGUAAAGCACUUUCAGCGAGGAAGAACGCCUAGCGGUUAAUACCCGCUAGGAAAGACAUCACUCGCAGAAGAAGCACCGGCUAACUCCGUGCCAGCAGCCGCGGUAAUACGGAGGGUGCAAGCGUUAAUCGGAAUUACUGGGCGUAAAGCGCGCGUAGGUGGCUUGAUAAGCCGGUUGUGAAAGCCCCGGGCUCAACCUGGGAACGGCAUCCGGAACUGUCAAGCUAGAGUGCAGGAGAGGAAGGUAGAAUUCCCGGUGUAGCGGUGGAAUGCGUAGAGAUCGGGAGGAAUACCAGUGGCGAAGGCGGCCUUCUGGACUGACACUGACACUGAGGUGCGAAAGCGUGGGUAGCAAACAGGAUUAGAUACCCUGGUAGUCCACGCCGUAAACGAUGUCGACCAGCCGUUGGGUGCCUAGCGCACUUUGUGGCGAAGUUAACGCGAUAAGUCGACCGCCUGGGGAGUACGGCCGCAAGGUUAAAACUCAAAUGAAUUGACGGGGGCCCGCACAAGCGGUGGAGCAUGUGGUUUAAUUCGAUGCAACGCGAAGAACCUUGCCUACUCUUGACAUCCUGCGAAUUCGGUAGAGAUACCUUAGUGCCUUCGGGAACGCAGAGACAGGUGCUGCAUGGCUGUCGUCAGCUCGUGUUGUGAAAUGUUGGGUUAAGUCCCGUAACGAGCGCAACCCUUGUCCUUAUUUGCCAGCGCGUAAUGGCGGGAACUCUAAGGAGACUGCCGGUGACAAACCGGAGGAAGGUGGGGACGACGUCAAGUCAUCAUGGCCCUUACGAGUAGGGCUACACACGUGCUACAAUGGUCGGUACAAAGGGUUGCCAACUCGCGAGAGUGAGCCAAUCCCGAAAAGCCGAUCUCAGUCCGGAUCGGAGUCUGCAACUCGACUCCGUGAAGUCGGAAUCGCUAGUAAUCGUGGAUCAGAAUGCCACGGUGAAUACGUUCCCGGGCCUUGUACAC
rnacentral:rRNA from 1 species